AUGUCCUAAUACACAAAACUGUGGAACUCGAAGAGGGUGUACUUUCUUUUCACAUGACUGUAUAAUCUGAUGUUCUUUACAGUGAAGCCAGCAGAUAUCUGGUGGAGAUUUUGGAGUCUGUCAGUGAAGUGGAGCUGGAGGAUGUGAUUGAGCGAAUUCUGGAUGGAGUUAAAAAACAACCAUUGUCCUCCAGUAUGGUUGAGCUCUUGGUAGCUGAAGCUGCUGUGCAGGACUGCAGUCAGUCAUGUGAUGAAACCAUAGACAAUGUUUUUAACAUCAUUGGAGCUUUUGAUGUGCCUCGGUUUAUCUACAGCACAGAAAGGAAGAAAUUUAUUUUAUGUAUUUAAAAAAUAUAAAACCUUUAAAAUAUAUUGAUCUUUUUCAGGGUUUGUUUAACUGAAGUUGUGGGUCUUUGAACAAAUUCACAAUGUAAGGUGAAGUGUUUGUGUAGGGUUCGUGUUGCUCAUGUGCACACGGCCUCCCAUGUUUUUGUCGAGGUAAAUGAAGAAUGUAGAAUUAAAUAACUUAUUUAGAAUUAAAUAACUUAUAAUUUAAUAUAACGCAACUAAAAUAACAGCCAAGUGUAUAUUUAACAUCUGUUUACAAUAUUAAUUAUGUAACUGUACCAAAAAAAAAAUAAAAAAUUUUGUCAAUAGGUUUACUAUUACAUGCCAAAACUUACACCUAGUAUGAAAAGUUGCUAUUUGGACAGUGAUUUGGGACGAAAUUGUUCUGUUCAACACUAAACAGCAUCAGCCAUUUUACACCAGCACCUGGAAAUAUAUCUAAAGUAUUUUAUAGGGAUGCACCGAAAUAAAAAUUCUUGGCUGAAACCGAAAACCGAAAAAG